UCCCAUAGGAGAGAGUAAAUGCCUCACCAGAAUGGAAAAUUUCUGUUUUCUGGUAUUUCCACUGAGGGAUAAAGAAGUAUGUUUGUAAACAUCUUCUGAUUGAAGAAGGACUUUAACACAGGGAGAAGAAAAUUCUAGUGGAGACAGUGAAGCACAUAAUCUGUAGAAUAUUCCUAACAGAAGGAAAUUGAAAAUCUGUAUCUCCUAGAGAGCUUAGUUGCUACUGGACCUUCUAUGAGAAUCGAACGGCAGUCUCCUUCCUGCUCCUGCAUGAACUGGGUUCCUGUGGGCAGCUGCUCAUGUGUGCUCACUCACAAAAGUGCUGAGGAAAAUGGAAUGCUCUGUGACUCAGCGAGCCAUUCACACUGUGCUUCUUCUCCAACUCAAGGACUACUGAUGUGAGAAAAAAAAUUCAUGGAGUAAUGAGGGCAGCAUUCACAGGGAUGACUUUACAAGGAGGGGGCCUAUUUAACAGACAGUGUCUCCCAUGGGAGAGAUAAAGCAAUAACAAAAGGCAGAUGGGAAUUCCUGAAAGUGCUGAAAUGGUAUCAGCAGAGGCCUCUUUCGCAGUAAUGCAGGCCAAGUUAUUUGUUUGUUCAGAAGUCCAGAGCCUGUUUGAACUCUGGGAAGAGAAGGGCUAAAGGGAAUGGAGGGCUGAAGAGUUGUGGAGGAAGUCGAGAGAGCUGAAUUCACAUCCCUUCUUUUUCAAGCAUAAAGAUAGAAAAGGAUACCCUCAAUCUGUUAAGUUCUGGAUGAAAAGUAUUAUUCUUGGAUAUUGUACAUCAUAUGAUGCUUUUCCUGAGCCAGCAGACUUAUCUUCUACCCGCUGACCUACUACCUCCUGCAUGCCUUUGUAGCAGCAGCAGUUGUCCUCUUGACUUUCUAAAACUUCAGAGGUAUGAAGCAGAUGGGGCUCUGGCUGCUAGACAUGUUAGGUGUAUGCAGAGCCCGUGCCUAGAGGCAAGGAUUCUUCGCAGCUGGAAGAGCACAAGCACAAGAAUCAACUCUGAUCCCAAAGUGAAAAGCUCAUCAGUCCUUCAUCUUACAUGGUUUAUGAGUACACACUAUAGUACAACAAAAACCGAGAAAGCCCUUUAAGAAGCUGGCAAAAUAGU
rnacentral:lncRNA from 7 species